rnacentral:misc_RNA from 1 species
AACGCACCUUGCGCCCCUUGGUAUUCCGAGGGGCAUGCCUGUUCGAGUGUCAUUAAAUUAUCAGCUCAAAGUCUUUCGCGCUUCGAUGUCUGGAUCUUGGAGCGUGCGGGUCCCUCGCGAUCCGCUCCUCUCGAAAUGCAUUAGCAGCCUACCGCUCGCGGAUCUGCCCCGGCGUGAUAAUUAUCUACGUCGCGGCGGCGAAGCUUCCCAUGGUUCUGCUUACAGCUGUCGCUUCGCGACAAUCGAUGACAAUUUUGACCUCGAAUCAGGUAGGACUACCCGCUGAACUUAA